rnacentral:lncRNA from 1 species
CCUUAUCAGUCUAGUACUUUUCUAUAUGUCAUUACAGGACCCUCUUGUCCAUGCAGCUCCUCAGGCUAGAUAUCUGAAAGUCAUUUUUGAUACCCCCUUCUCUCCUCAUCUUCCACAUGCAGUCUGUGACUGGUCCCGGUGAUUCUAACCUCAAAUCCAUCGCUUUUCUCCAUCUCCACUGCCACCGUCCUCAUCCAACGAGCCAUGUGGCUGCACCCAGUAGAGUUGUGCAUCCAGAAGGACACGAAACCUGUUUGAACUUCUGUAGUGGACACCAGACUUCCUCAAAGGCUGUCUUGUCUAUGGAUAAUUAUCUACAACAGUGUUUACCGGGGGUUCCUGAUGAUAGGGGGAAGGAGCUGAAGCUGGUUCAUGGGCCCCUGUGGGAUCUACAGCUGGGACCAAGGUCUGUAUGGCUUCUCAGUUCACAGGUAGGUGAGUCUCCUGGCAUAUGGUGCUGGAUCCCACAACCGCUGCAAAGGUGGUUCUGUUCAAGGAUUGAUACUCAAAUUGCUCUUGUUGAGGAAUGCCUUAUGUUGCUAUUGCUGAUGUCAUUCUAGGAAAUUUGAUAUCUCUAUGGAGACAGGUCUGGG